AACGCACAUUGCGCCCCGUGGUAUUCCGCGGGGCAUGCCUGUUCGAGCGUCAUUUCACCACUCAAGCCUCGCUUGGUAUUGGGCGUCGCGGUCCGCCGCGUGCCUCAAAUCGACCGGCUGGGUCGAUCGCACCCUCAGCGUUGUGAAAACUAAUCGCCGAAGGAGUUGUGGUCGGUCACGCCGUGAAACAAAACAAUUUUCAAUGGUUGACCUCGGAUCAGGUAGGGAUACCCGCUGAACUUAA
rnacentral:misc_RNA from 1 species